AAAGCACUCGGUUAGAGAGAAGGUGGCAGCCUGGACUAAAGCUCAGGGUAGGUAGGUGUAAGAAUGUACCAAGGAGUGAUGUUAAUUCAGCUUUGUGUGUGUGAUUAUUACAUGGGGUCUUAACCAUGUAAUAGGUCUUUAAUGCCCUGAGCCUCCAACAUGAGUGUAAUGGCAGCCAAAUAUCCUGGCAUUGGAGCAUUUCUCUAAUACAGAAGCUGCAACCCUGAACUGAGCAACCAAAUUGCUCCUAUGGUGAUAUGGAAACCUCAGGGAACUGCAUCUGGUGAAUCUUGAAGAUCUGUGCCUGAGAAAAGCUCUACCUUUCCUUGUGUGAGCAGCUGUCUGGUGCUAUGUGGAUGUUUAAGCAGUGAACUGCUUGGCAAUAAAGAAUCCCAUGCAGCAGCUUGGACUUGCCUUGUUGCAUUGCUCAGUGAUACUGCUGACCUCAGUCCAGAAGUGAAAGUGAAAAUCCAUUAUGAAACCUAGUUGAAUUAUAAAGAAGGAGGAACCCGUAGUGUGUCUUUUUCUCUGGGAUCCAAGAGGCUUCUGCAUCUCCUGUGCAGGGCUCUGGAAGAGAAGCUGAAUGAUUGGGAGUUGGAAAGAACUGCUCAGACACUCGGAGAAGGGAAUGGAAGAGGCAGGAAAGCUUCCUCAGACAAAGCAGCUUUUGAGGAAGAUGACUAAGGGAGGAGCCUGGUGAGCCUGACCUGGGACCACAGAGGAUCUCAGAGAACAUCCAGCACCACUGGAACUGAGCACCCAGGGCAGCCAGAUGGACUCUCCCCACCUCAUGGGGUUGUGUUUCCUGCUCCUGGCUGUUGCAGCUCCCCGUCCAAAUAUUGCCAUGGCCAGUGGUGACUCCGCUGAGAGAACACAUGACUCUUCAAAUGUGACA